GCGGUCGUGGUGAACUUGGCGGACACGUCGGUCUUCCAAACCGAAGAAGCGGGGUCGGUGCCCGCCGACCGCU
rnacentral:tRNA from 6 species